GAGUUUGAUUAUGGCUCAGGAUGAACGCUAGCGAUAGGCUUAACACAUGCAAGUCGAGGGGCAGCGAGGGUAGCAAUACCUGUCGGCGACCGGCGCACGGGUGAGUAACGCGUAUGUAACCUGCCCGCAACAGGGGGAUAACCCGGCGAAAGUCGGACUAAUACCGCAUAAAACAGGGGUCCCGCAUGGGAAUAUUUGUUAAAGAUUUAUCGGUUGCGGAUGGGCAUGCGUACCAUUAGGUAGUUGGUGAGGUAACGGCUCACCAAGCCAUCGAUGGUUAGGGGUUCUGAGAGGAAGGUCCCCCACACUGGUACUGAGACACGGACCAGACUCCUACGGGAGGCAGCAGUGAGGAAUAUUGGUCAAUGGGCGAGAGCCUGAACCAGCCAAGUCGCGUGAAGGAUGACUGCCCUAUGGGUUGUAAACUUCUUUUACAAGGGAAUAAAAUGAGAUACGUGUAUUUU
rnacentral:rRNA from 1 species